CCUGACUCGGUACCGAGUCCAGCAUGCUUGACCCGAUCCGAGUCUGGUAGGCCCUGGACUGAUCCAGACCUAGUCCGAACCUGUCAAAAGUACUGAGUCGAGUCGAAGAGAGGCCAAAUUGGUUGAUACAGACUGUAUUGGAUCAUUGUGGGGCCAAUACGAUGAUAAAGGCCCUCCUUUUUUAAAAGGUUUCUUUCAUUUUUUUUCCGAUUUUGUUCUUUCUUACAACCAUAAAGGCAACUUUAAAACUCAUUUUAGACUAGAUCUAAAACUAUUUUGAGAAUUAAAAUACAAGAAUUGAGUUGGAUUUGAUGAAUCAAAGCGGAUUAAACCGUUUUGGGAAUAUUGGAGAAAGGGGGUAAACCAUGAA